UGAUUUCGUUCAGAAACUAAAACCAAAAGGUCAUACGGUCAUUUUCUGUUUUAAGUGCUAUACCCCAUUCCCUAUGUUGCAUAAUGCUACUUCAUGUUAUGCAACAUUUUUUUCCCAGUAUUUAGUGUAUUGCUGUCUUAAAUUCUGCUGGCUUCUCUGAUUGUUUGUUCUGCAACCAUAGAUAAGUAUUCUGCUUCUUUAUCAGAGAUCUCCCUUACAUGCAGGCUCAUGUUUUGAGGCCCCCCAAAGCUCCCAUUGCUAUAGAACAGCAUUAAUAUGCAGGUACUAGUAGGGAUCAAACCUCAAGACUGCAUCGCUCAUACAAGCUGUGAACCAGACACUCAGACUGCUAGUGAUUGACCUGACACAUCUGAAGUCCUGCAUCAAGCCCAGGUGGCUGGCAUGACUGUUCAGCAAUUUCUUUGGAGAGCAGGUGGGCAGGAAUAAGCAAGUUCCGAUUGCUGUGACAGCAGGAACCAAGCAGAGCUGUUAUUGACAUAUGUCCGGUGUGAGUCUGCAUGGCUGCUAACUGAAGGGGAACACGUCUUGUUUAGUGAAUGGGAAGAACCACUGGGAGGAUGAAGCAAGGUCAUGCAGCAGAAUGGGGUCGUCGUGGAGACUGCAGUCUCAGGAGCUGCAGAAAAAGCAAAAAUGGGCAUUGCCAGAACUGUUAGCCAUGAGUCAGAGCUCUGACACUCUGGGAAAUCCAUUUAGACUGUGUCUCAGAAACCCCACCUGACAUACAGCAGUAGCAAGUUGAAUCAAGGUCAAGAGGAAAGGCAAAAGAAGGCAGCUAGGACAGAAAGAUGACACCUCAGCCCAUUCCUGUUCUAGGAUUACUUUCUUCCUCUACACUACUGCAGGGAGGAGCUCAGCCACAUGGGCUGUGGUGUGUGGGACACAAGUGUUCAGGGCCCAACAGAAUAGCCCUCACUUCAAAUUCCCAUCAUCACUCCCAUCACAUGGGCUUACCUGAAUCAGGGCGCUGAGUUUCUUUGUCCAAACGGAGACAUCAUGAAAGAUUUAAUUGUACAGCUUGGGCUUCGUUUAAACAGUUUAAAAAGCAAAAUGCUGCUUUAAGGAAGUUCUCAAUUCAUCUCCACUGAGUUCAUACGGUAUUCCGCCAGCUCAAAUCAGUCCCAGUGCAGAUCUCUAAGUUACUUUCAAUAGUAAAAUACCUACGUGAAAAGAACUGCUGUGUGGGCCCAAGAGGCUGUAGACAGCAAAAGGAUCCUCAUUUCCCCUAGCAAACAGCAGCUCUUAGCAUACUGGUGAUUGCUGCGCUGACCAGAUGGCGGUGGGAGCAGCAGUUUGGAUGAUGUUAAUUACACUCAAACUCCAAAACAACUGAUGGCAAAACUCACUUGGAAAAUGCACCACCAGAACGGGCUGCUAAGCAUAUGGUGGCAACGCUCCUCUGAAACCGUAUUUUGUAUGUGUUAAACAAGGUACAGGCUCCAUCACAGGGGCCAAGGAUAAGCACCUGCAGGUCCCAGGCUGUCUGGCUCUCUGAUGCAGGUCCGUUUAUUACGAUUAAAUGAGGUGCAUGGAUUGGUGGUGUAAACAUCCAUAGUUUCCAAAGCAGGUCCUUUGCUCAAGGAAGUGCCUCAGGCAAUCUGAGCUGCAGACCUAUCUGUAUUUCAUGGAAUGUUCCAACUUGGAAGGAUCAUCAAGACUGAGUGAAAGUUAGGAGAUGCACCAAUCAGCACCAAGGACUUCUUGUCAAAUCUGUGCGUUUUCAGGUGUACUGCUGGGGCUACCUUUACACCAACAUCUGAUUGAUAUCUUUAGAUGUACUGCAGGUGGUGGCAGCGCUCUGCCAGAGUGGACUUGGACACAGCCGGGUACAGAUGUAGGCAGUGGUUUCAUAAAGAUCAUUUAGGCCAAGCUGAUGAGAUAGGGGUUGAUUUUCUGGCAAGGGGCAGCUACGAAUAGGAUCUACAUAUUAUCUCUGGACCAUGCACUGGGAGCUCCCAUUUCUGCUCCAGAGUACUUUCCUCACCAUGUUACUCUCAGCUCCUCUUCCUCCUGUAGUUAUUUACCUCCAGCUUUUAGCCUUGCUGGGAAAUACAAGCCCCAAAGGAAGAAAGGAUAGGAAAGGGCUGUGGGAAGGCAGCCAGCUUAAUCGUCUCACUUUGAGGCAAGGAAAACAUAGCCAUCGCUCCCGACAGACGCUCUUUACAGGUCUGCAUUUGUGGAGGAGCAGCCAUCUCUCCACACAUCUGCUCCUUAAUUCCCUACCCUCAUUUUUUAUACUAGGCGCCAUUUAAGCCCAGUCUACCAAAAGAUUUCAAACUCCAUUCUUUCAGCGCUCCCUCAAGUGCAUUUUCCCAUGUCUCAAUACAUCACUCAUGCCAUUCUCUAUUGGACUCUGCACUCCUAAGUGCAGCAUCUCAAGUUGUGUACUUAAUCCUGUGCUUCCCAGGAGCACCUGCAGCUCGUGAGCCUCGUGAAAUAAAUUGUCGUUCGU
ensembl:lncRNA